CCAGAGAUUGUGCCAAAGAAAAGUUGUACUCUUAUAUUCUGUAAGAAUUGUUGCAUUGAGAUGAUUUUCAAAGAAAUUCCCAAGAAAGAAAAAUCACAACAUUCUGUUCUCAAGGUGAUAAAGACUUGCUUCCCAGCCCUCAGACUUCCACUGGUGCUCAGGAUUCAUGGAGCAGCAUCAGGGGAGUAAGGAAAAGUCUGGAGCUCUCUGAUCAUUUCAGAGCCCUCUCCUGGGGCUCAUGGGUUAGGGCAAACCACAAGCCCAUGGCUCCUACACAGAAAUGUGGAGCAGCCCUUUUAUUGAUAUGGAGAACGAAGCAACUGCUGUCUAAACAGUCUUGACUGAACUGAGGAACCCAGAAGUCUUAGUAGGCAAAAUUAGUGCCUACUCUAGUUUUCUGCCUAUUCAUUUAGGAAUAUUUCUGUUACUUACAGAAAAUAUAAAUAUCUGUUCAAUUCUGUCCUCAUAUAGUAACACACUUACAUUCAUUAAUUUAAAAAAUGUUUAGCUAAGCCCAGAAGAUUCAUUUGACUAUUACUAAGCAAUAGAGGAAGAUGGUGCCUGACGGCACACAAAGCUGACCCAAGCUGGCCCUGUGUCACAGAGGAGUUAGAAGACAACUCAUAUAGCAGUUAAGAAAGGACAAGAAAGCUCUUUUGAUAUCUCCUUAUUUGGAAUCCCAAAGCAUAUGACUCUAACACUGCUCUCUACUAAGGGACAAA
rnacentral:lncRNA from 1 species